rnacentral:rRNA from 1 species
AGAGUUUGAUCCUGGCUCAGGACGAACGCUGGCGGCACGCUUAACACAUGCAAGUCGAGGGGCAGCAUGGUCUUAGCUUGCUAAGGCCGAUGGCGACCGGCGCACGGGUGAGUAACACGUAUCCAACCUGCCGUCUACUCUUGGACAGCCUUCUGAAAGGAAGAUUAAUACAAGAUGGCAUCAUGAGUCCGCAUGUUCACAUGAUUAAAGGUAUUCCGGUAGACGAUGGGGAUGCGUUCCAUUAGAUAGUAGGCGGGGUAACGGCCCACCUAGUCUUCGAUGGAUAGGGGUUCUGAGAGGAAGGUCCCCCACAUUGGAACUGAGACACGGUCCAAACUCCUACGGGAGGCAGCAGUGAGGAAUAUUGGUCAAUGGGCGAGAGCCUGAACCAGCCAAGUAGCGUGAAGGAUGACUGCCCUAUGGGUUGUAAACUUCUUUUAUAAAGGAAUAAAGUCGGGUAUGGAUACCCGUUUGCAUGUACUUUAUGAAUAAGGAUCGGCUAACUCCGUGCCAGCAGCCGCGGUAAUACGGAGGAUCCGAGCGUUAUCCGGAUUUAUUGGGUUUAAAGGGAGCGUAGAUGGAUGUUUAAGUCAGUUGUGAAAGUUUGCGGCUCAACCGUAAAAUUGCAGUUGAUACUGGAUAUCUUGAGUGCAGUUGAGGCAGGCGGAAUUCGUGGUGUAGCGGUGAAAUGCUUAGAUAUCACGAAGAACUCCGAUUGCGAAGGCAGCCUGCUAAGCUGCAACUGACAUUGAGGCUCGAAAGUGUGGGUAUCAAACAGGAUUAGAUACCCUGGUAGUCCAUGCCGUAAACGAUGAUUACUAGGUGUUGGAGGAUUGACCCCUUCAGUGCCGCAGUUAACACAAUAAGUAAUCCACCUGGGGAGUACGACCGCAAGGUUGAAACUCAAAGGAAUUGACGGGGGCCCGCACAAGCAGUGGAGUAUGUGGUUUAAUUCGAAGCAACGCGAAGAACCUUACCAGGUCUUGACAUCCGAUGCAUAGCGCAGAGAUGCGUGAAGUCCUUCGGGACAUCGAGACAGGUGGUGCAUGGUUGUCGUCAGCUCGUGUCGUGAGAUGUUGGGUUAAGUCCCGCAACGAGCGCAACCCUUAUUGCCAGUUACUACGAAAGAGGACUCUGGCGAGACUGCCGUUGACAAAACGGAGGAAGGUGGGGAUGACGUCAAAUCAUCAUGCCCUUUAUGACCUGGGCUACACACGUGUUACAAUGGGGGGUACAGAGGGCCGCUACCACGCGAGUGGAUGCCAAUCCCAAAAACCUCUCUCAGUUCGGACUGGAGUCUGCAACCCGACUCCACGAAGCUGGAUUCGCUAGUAAUCGCGAAUCAGCAUGUCGCGGUGAAUACGUUCCCGGGUCUUGUACUCACCGCCCGUCAAG